rnacentral:rRNA from 1 species
CCUACGGGAGGCAGCAGUGGGGAAUAUUGCGCAAUGGGGGCAACCCUGACGCAGCAACGCCGCGUGAUUGAAGAAGGCCUUCGGGUUGUAAAAAUCUUUAAUCGGGGACGAAUAUUGGCGGUACCAGAAGAAUAAGCUCCGGCUAACUACGUGCCAGCAGCCGCGGUAAAACGUAGGGAGCAAGCGUUAUCCGGAUUUACUGGGUGUAAAGGGCGUGUAGGCGGUCAUUGAAGCCAGAGGGGAAAUCUCGGGGCUUAACCCACAAACUGCUUUUGGAACUGCGUGUCUUGAGUGAUGGAGAGGCAGGCGGAAUUCCCAGUGUAGCGGUGAAAUGCGUAGAUAUUGGGAGGAACACCAGUGGCGAAGGCGGCCUUCUGGACAUUAACUGACGCUGAGGCGCGAAAGCGUGGGGAGCAAACAGGAUUAGAUACCCGUGUAGUC